ACCCAAUAGAUACCCGGGUAGUCCACGCCCUAAACGAUGCGAACUGGAUGUUGGUCUCAACUCGGAGAUCAGUGUCGAAAGCUAACGCGUUAAGUUCGCCGCCUGGGGAGUACGGUCGCAAGACUGAAACUCAAAGGAAUUGACGGGGGCCCGCACAAGCGGUGGAGUAUGUGGUUUAAAUUCGAUGCAACGCGAAGAACCUUACCUGGCCUUGACAUGUCCGGAAUCCUGCAGAGAUGCGGGAGUGCCUUCGGGAAUCGGAACACAGGUGCUGCAUGGCUGUCGUCAGCUCGUGUCGUGAGAUGUUGGGUUAAGUCCCGCAACGAGCGCAACCCUUGUCCUUAGUUGCCAGCGAGUAGUGUCGGGAACUCUAAGGAGACUGCCGGUGACAAACCGGAGGAAGGUGGGGAUGACGUCAAGUCCUCAUGGCCCUUACGGCCAGGGCUACACACGUACUACAAUGGUCGGUACAGAGGGUUGCGAUACCGCGAGGUGGAGCCAAUCCCAGAAAGCCGAUCCCAGUCCGGAUUGGAGUCUGC
rnacentral:rRNA from 1 species